rnacentral:lncRNA from 1 species
GACGUUACAAAGGAGCUCUGUGUCAGAAGCUAGGAUUAAAGAACAAAUACAGAACAAAUUAUUCCUCCAGCACCCCUACUGCAAGGGUUUUAAGAACUCUAUCUCAGGAUAAAGACCUGAGGGUCACAUGUACAUUGCUGGCCCCAGCUGGAUUUUCCCAGGGUCAGGUGCCCAUUCCUACCUAAUCAAAGGACACUUCUGCUGACCUGCACCUAGAAUACCCUGUUCUGUGCUGAUGACUCAGAUGUAAGAAUGAUGAAGUGCAUCAGUUGGCAUGCAGAGAACAAUAAGAAAAAGAACUGAGUUGUGGGAAGACAUGAGGAAAGGACAUGAGGCUCUUAAUAACAGCUGCCAAGUACUGCAGUCGGGAAUCUGGAGCAAAGUGAUUCAAUUCUGACCACUGCCUGUGAGUAAAUGGGAUUUUAUUUUUCAAUACUUUUGUUUAAUAUUACCUCCUUCAUUACAUGUGAACAGCACUCCAGGACAGUAAAUCAUGAAAUGGGAAUAAAGCCUGUAAUUUUAAUUAACAUAUUUUAAAAUGUUUCUAAUUUGUAUGCAUUUAAUCAAAUUUUCAUUUGCAUUGAGCUAUUUUUUUCUUUCUCAUGUAAUGUUUGACAUUACCAUUUGUUUCUUUAAUGAAAUACUAAUAUUUAAUAAAAUAUAUUACAUCCUUAA